GACUAAUGUUGAAAAAUUAGCGGAUGACUUGUGGCUGGGGGUGAAAGGCCAAUCAAACCGGGAGAUAGCUGGUUCUCCCCGAAAGCUAUUUAGGUAGCGCCUCGUGAACUCAUCUUCGGGGGUAGAGCACUGUUUCGGCUAGGGGGUCAUCCCGACUUACCAACCCGAUGCAAACUACGAAUACCGAAGAAUGUUAUCACGGGAGACACACGGCGGGUGCUAACGUCCGUCGUGAAGAGGGAAACAACCCAGACCGCCAGCUAAGGUCCCAAAGUCAUGGUUAAGUGGGAAACGAUGUGGGAAGGCACAGACAGCCAGGAUGUUGGCUUAGAAGCAGCCAUCAUUUAAAGAAAGCGUAAUAGCUCACUGGUCGAGUCGGCCUGCGCGGAAGAUGUAACGGGGCUAAACCAUGCACCGAAGCUGCGGCAGCGACACUAUGUGUUGUUG
rnacentral:rRNA from 1 species